rnacentral:lncRNA from 1 species
GGUCCAUCCCACAAAUUGGUAACAUCAAAAUCUCCCCAGUAACCCAAACAGCCCAAUCACUGCCAAUGGCCAUCUAAACGAUCCUGACCAGCAACAGAGGGGUGGCCUGUCAGACCCCACGGCAACACGUGCUCUCUAUGAAGGAGAACAUGCUUUGCCAAUCUUUGAUCGUUUACAUGGGAAUUAAACACUAGUUCCUAUUUACAGAGUUAUGUGGAAGAGAGCUUGCGUUGUUUGACCCUUUAAGUAGUUCCCUUUCGCCUGCUAUAAAAACUAUGCAGUGGACUAUCUUUUAUAUUUUAAACAGAGAAUAACUUUUACUCAGUGUACUUGCACGGGUUAGAUUAAAUAUACCAGACAGGCAGGUGUUCCUUAUGUUACCAAUACAUCUGACAUAGAUUUGAACCUAAGACAAAAACUGCUACAGACUGACUAACUCUGAGACAGGAAGCAGCAUAACAGAACAUAACUGCUGCUCUGUUAAGACUGUUCAUAACUGCCAUAAUUGUACCAACUGAAAUAAGUGCCUCCCGCAAAGAACAUCACAGAGUUCUCUAGCCCUUGUGAGCAUUAAGCCUUUCCUUAGCAUUUUGGAUGCUUUCAUCUCACAGUUUAGGGGCUGGGGGAGUGAGGUCCUCCAUUGCUCUUUCCCUUUUACAAGCUCUCAUCCCCUUACGCUGCUAUUGGGGGCCUUUAAGGCACUUAUUGGUUAACUGGAAAAGUCCUACCAAGCCAGCAAUUCCAGUGGCUUCUCCAAUUGCUUUGUGGUUCUUCCGACCAGGGAGAGGGGAGGAAGGAGAGAGUUUUAGCCACUAGUGUUUCUUGUAGUGAAGUGGGCAACAAUGAAUUCAGUGCCUUUGAUGAUGAAUUUGUUGUGCAAGACGGUCCGGAGUGGAAUGGCAAGAUGUUAUUGAGACUUUUUGGGGCUACUGCAUCUGUAAUCAAAAGCUUCCACCCUGUGGCUUCAGCCCUUGUAAUUGUUUCUUGUUCUACAGGGAACUAUGUGCUUUAGCUUCUUUAAAAGGUGUAUAAACCACCCUUCAAAAGAUUUAAAGCUCUACUCCCAGCUUUAAAAUCCCUGUCAUUUACAGGCAGACUCUGCCCCAAACUGAGUUCAGUAAGGAGUGACAUUAGGGCUUUAAUUCAUUGCUCCUUUGUUUCCCUUUCAAUGCAGCUUCACCCCUUUCUUAGGAGUGUCUCAUUUAACAACAGUGCUGGAGAAAAAGUAUCUUUCGGUGAAAACUGGGAAUUUGAAACUGGAUUUGAUAUUACGAACUUGGUCACUUUCCCAAAUAACUCCUAUGUGAGAAUCAAGGUUGGGAGGAUAAAUCUGGAGGCUCCCCCAGGAAAGCAAUUUUCCAUUCAUGAGGACAAAAUGGUGUGGCAUAAGAGUUUUCUCCAGGUGAGGAAUGACAGCAAUGUCCAUGAGAUGUGGGUAAACAAAAUAUUAUUGCAUUGCAGAUCAUGAGUCUAGCAAAGUGUGGUACAUAUCUUGAACUACAUGUGGAACAUGGACUCCUUAUUUUGCUUUUGUUUUCUUUUAAUAGAAGGUUAGGACCUGUUACCCGUUUGGGUUCAGCAUUGUUUUGAUCAAAUCAUAAUGAGAAAUUUGCAUGUUUUCUAGGUCUUCAUACUACACCCCUGAUUGCUCCUUGUCUUUGGCAGGAAGAUAUGAAGAAAGCUUUUGAAAGGAGUCAGCUGAAGCCUCUUUUCAGUUUGGAAAUGUGAUAAUAACACAUUGUUCCAAAUCCCAGAGAGGCUUCUAACCAUGUUCAGACAUGUGUGUUAGACUGCUCCUUACACCCCCCUACUCAGCACAGGAAGAUCAGAGGGGGGACAAGUACAACAAGAAUGUCUCUGGACAUUGGGUGCAGGGCUGGUGAAUAUUCACCCACCCCUCAAUUUGAGGAGGCUCAAAAGAAAGCCAUUUUAAGCACCUCCCCACCCCUCAAUUGUGGAUAGUAGUAUUUUUCACCCUGAAUUGGUUCUGAGGAGAUCAUUCGCACCUCUUAGUCAAUACUAAAAUCCCACUGCGCAUACAAUACUAAGAAUGCUUGGAAUGCCAUGCGUUCCUAAUUGUAGCUGAGAUAAUGGGAGGCAAAGAUCCUAUACAUCUAUAUGUGCUAAACUGUUCCCAUGCUUAUUCCAAUGGACAGGUUCCACCUCAUUCUGUGUGUAGCCCAAGUUGCCCUCCUGGAUACAGAAAGAAAAAGAAGGAGGGGGAGAAAUUCUGCUGCUAUGAUUGUGCUCCAUGUCCCGAAGGAAGGAUUGCUUCCCAGAAGGGUAAGAGACACAACUCUCCCCCCUUCCCCCCACACACUACAGUGGCCAGGCCACCCCGAUCUCCACAGUUGACAUACCAGAUGAAGCUGGUAAGAGGCCCCAGUAGCUAGACAUGCUAGUUGGCUUGGGGUUCAAACAUAUUGCAUUGUAUCUGGUUUGUUGGGAAAUACCUAAGAUAUUCCCGAUUUCAUUCGAAGAGGUCCAUAUUGGUGGAAUUUGUAUUUGCUCUUUAAGACAUGAUGAGUCUGCAUCUAAUCUUUUCUUUUUUACCUCAGACAUGAAUGACUGUAUUGGAUGCUCAGAAGAUCACUACCCAAACAAGGACCAGACACAAUGCAUUCCAAAGACAAUCAGCUUCCUGACUUUUGGAGAACCACUUGGGAUGUGCAUAGCAUUUCUCUCUCUCCUUUUCUUUCUGCUCACACUUUUGGUCCUAGUAAUCUUUGCUAAGCAUCAAGACACACCACUCGUCAGGGC